CUUCUUUUGUAAUCUGCUAUUCCCGGCGCUUUCGGUUUUUGACAGAUAAUCCAAACUCGAGAGUCGAGACUCAACACCAACGAAAGGAAAGUACUAAUAACCACUUGGUCAACAUACAACCUGAAACGUCCGGCCCGCCGCUCGUUCACGAACAGCAUGUACCACUACUGCAUGCGCAGCUACGCCAAAGCGGCGACCGCCGCCGCAACGCCCCCGGUGCGCAAGAGCUUGAAGUACAGCUCCUUCUUCGCGAGAAACGCCGCGCGGGAGACGAGCACACCGCCGGAUCCAGGCGCCUUCAUCAUGGCCACGGCCGGGGCCGCCACGGGCCACAAGAAGUAGGCGCCCACGGCGCUGACAGCGAUGACGGCCGCGGCUCCAGCGACGGGGUGCCUGGAGGCCAUGUCUUUCGCCUGUUCCUUGAGGCGACCGAACUUCGUGCCGAGGGACUCACGGACUUCGGCUUCAGUGGUGGCGGUGGCCAUUUUUGUUCUUGGGUUGAGAUUUGGGAUGAGGUAAAC
rnacentral:misc_RNA from 1 species